rnacentral:rRNA from 4 species
UUAAGUUAGAAAGGGCGCACGGUGGAUGCCUUGACACUAGGAGUCGAUGAAGGACGGGACUAACGCCGAUAUGCUUCGGGGAGCUGUAAGUAAGCUUUGAUCCGAAGAUUUCCGAAUGGGGAAACCCACCAUACGUAAUGGUAUGGUAUCCUUAUCUGAAUACAUAGGAUAAGGAAGACAGACCCAGGGAACUGAAACAUCUAAGUACCUGGAGGAAGAGAAAGCAAAUGCGAUUUCCUGAGUAGCGGCGAGCGAAACGGAACAUAGCCCAAACCAAGAGGCUUGCCUCUUGGGGUUGUAGGACAUUCUAUACGGAGUUACAAAGGAACGAGGUAGACGAAGCGACCUGGAAAGGUCCGUCGUAGAGGGUAACAACCCCGUAGUCGAAACUUCGUUCUCUCUUGAAUGUAUCCUGAGUACGGCGGAACACGUGAAAUUCCGUCGGAAUCUGGGAGGACCAUCUCCCAAGGCUAAAUACUCCCUAGUGAUCGAUAGUGAACCAGUACCGUGAGGGAAAGGUGAAAAGCACCCCGGAAGGGGAGUGAAAGAGAUCCUGAAACCGUGUGCCUACAAAUAGUCAGAGCCCGUUAACGGGUGAUGGCGUGCCUUUUGUAGAAUGAACCGGCGAGUUACGAUCCCGUGCGAGGUUAAGCUGAAGAGGCGGAGCCGCAGCGAAAGCGAGUCUGAAUAGGGCGUUUAGUACGUGGUCGUAGACCCGAAACCAGGUGAUCUACCCAUGUCCAGGGUGAAGUUCAGGUAACACUGAAUGGAGGCCCGAACCCACGCACGUUGAAAAGUGCGGGGAUGAGGUGUGGGUAGCGGAGAAAUUCCAAUCGAACCUGGAGAUAGCUGGUUCUCCCCGAAAUAGCUUUAGGGCUAGCCUUAAGUGUAAGAGUCUUGGAGGUAGAGCACUGAUUGGACUAGGGGUCCUCAUCGGAUUACCGAAUUCAGUCAAACUCCGAAUGCCAAUGACUUAUCCUUAGGAGUCAGACUGCGAGUGAUAAGAUCCGUAGUCAAAAGGGAAACAGCCCAGACCGCCAGCUAAGGUCCCAAAGUGUGUAUUAAGUGGAAAAGGAUGUGGAGUUGCUUAGACAACUAGGAUGUUGGCUUAGAAGCAGCCACCAUUUAAAGAGUGCGUAAUAGCUCACUAGUCGAGUGACUCUGCGCCGAAAAUGUACCGGGGCUAAAUACACCACCGAAGCUGCGGAUUGAUACCAAUGGUAUCAGUGGUAGGGGAGCGUUCUAAGGACAGUGAAGUCAGACCGGAAGGACUGGUGGAGUGCUUAGAAGUGAGAAUGCCGGUAUGAGUAGCGAAAGACGGGUGAGAAUCCCGUCCACCGAAUGCCUAAGGUUUCCUGAGGAAGGCUCGUCCGCUCAGGGUUAGUCAGGACCUAAGCCGAGGCCGACAGGCGUAGGCGAUGGACAACAGGUUGAUAUUCCUGUACCACCUCUUUAUCGUUUGAGCAAUGGAGGGACGCAGAAGGAUAGAAGAAGCGUGCGAUUGGUUGUGCACGUCCAAGCAGUUAGGCUGAUAAGUAGGCAAAUCCGCUUAUCGUGAAGGCUGAGCUGUGAUGGGGAAGCUCCUUAUGGAGCGAAGUCUUUGAUUCCCCGCUGCCAAGAAAAGCUUCUAGCGAGAUAAAAGGUGCCUGUACCGCAAACCGACACAGGUAGGCGAGGAGAGAAUCCUAAGGUGUGCGAGAGAACUCUGGUUAAGGAACUCGGCAAAAUGACCCCGUAACUUCGGGAGAAGGGGUGCUUUCUUAACGGAAAGCCGCAGUGAAUAGGCCCAAGCGACUGUUUAGCAAAAACACAGCUCUCUGCGAAGCCGUAAGGCGAAGUAUAGGGGGUGACACCUGCCCGGUGCUGGAAGGUUAAGGAGAGGGGUUAGCGUAAGCGAAGCUCUGAACUGAAGCCCCAGUAAACGGCGGCCGUAACUAUAACGGUCCUAAGGUAGCGAAAUUCCUUGUCGGGUAAGUUCCGACCCGCACGAAAGGUGUAACGAUUUGGGCACUGUCUCAACCAGAGACUCGGUGAAAUUAUAGUACCUGUGAAGAUGCAGGUUACCCGCGACAGGACGGAAAGACCCCGUGGAGCUUUACUGUAGCCUGAUAUUGAAUUUUGGUACAGUUUGUACAGGAUAGGCGGGAGCCUUUGAAACCGGAGCGCUAGCUUCGGUGGAGGCGCUGGUGGGAUACCGCCCUGACUGUAUUGAAAUUCUAACCUACGGGUCUUAUCGACCCGGGAGACAGUGUCAGGUGGGCAGUUUGACUGGGGCGGUCGCCUCCUAAAGUGUAACGGAGGCGCCCAAAGGUUCCCUCAGAAUGGUUGGAAAUCAUUCGUAGAGUGCAAAGGCAUAAGGGAGCUUGACUGCGAGACCUACAAGUCGAGCAGGGACGAAAGUCGGGCUUAGUGAUCCGGUGGUUCCGCAUGGAAGGGCCAUCGCUCAACGGAUAAAAGCUACCCCGGGGAUAACAGGCUUAUCUCCCCCAAGAGUCCACAUCGACGGGGAGGUUUGGCACCUCGAUGUCGGCUCAUCGCAUCCUGGGGCUGUAGUCGGUCCCAAGGGUUGGGCUGUUCGCCCAUUAAAGCGGUACGCGAGCUGGGUUCAGAACGUCGUGAGACAGUUCGGUCCCUAUCCGUCGUGGGCGUAGGAAAUUUGAGAGGAGCUGUCCUUAGUACGAGAGGACCGGGAUGGACGCACCGCUGGUGUACCAGUUGUUCUGCCAAGGGCAUAGCUGGGUAGCUAUGUGCGGAAGGGAUAAGUGCUGAAAGCAUCUAAGCAUGAAGCCCCCCUCAAGAUGAGAUUUCCCAUAGCGUAAGCUAGUAAGAUCCCUGAAAGAUGAUCAGGUUGAUAGGUUCGAGGUGGAAGCAUGGUGACAUGUGGAGCUGACGAAUACUAAUAGAUCGAGGACUUAACCAU